rnacentral:lncRNA from 1 species
GUCCGCGCGCGCGGGGCGGCCGCGGCGGUGAGCCUGCGCGUCAGGGCCGCCGGCCUCUCCUUGGCUGUUGGAGGUGAUAGGGGUCGAGGGGAGGGAAAAAGGGGCUGGCGUCAGCCGCCCCUGUGAGGUGGCCGUAGCGUGGACGAGUAAGAAGGGUUGAGUAAAGUGGACAAACACCUGGUUAGGAGAAGAGGGCAGGCCCGCAGCCGCCCUCCGGAGGAGGACUCGGGGCCUCGCGGGCGCCGGAGGAGGUUCCUGGGCCUCGGAGGGCCGCCCCGGCGCGCCGCCCCGGCGCGAGCGGGCGCGGGCGGGGGAGGGGAAGUGAGAGGUUGUUUAUGACCGGGGACUAAUCUCCUCCGCGAGUCCCAGCGCUCCCUCUGGGGAGUGCGGUUGAGGGGCUGUCCUCGCACGGAGCCUCGCUCGGCCUCGGGGGAGCCACGAGAGGUGGGAGUUGGACCCGCAGCGGGCCAGGAGCCCUGUCAUUGGAGGACCCGCCAAAAAGGAAGCAAACCCUCUUUUUCUUUAUCCAACCCCAAAUAGCUAGGGCCUAGGGGGAAGACUCACAUAUCGAUAAAUGGUUUGUUGCCCGUUUUAUUCUCUGGGAAAUACAACUGAUCUUACCAAAGAAAUAACCUGUCUCUUGCCGUGUUUACUUAGAGCCAUAGAAUACCUGUUUCAGAGCUGAAGGGGACCUGAGCCCAUGAUAAUCCAUUACCUCGUGAGAAAGCGGAAAAACUGACUUCAGCUUGCCCAGAUGGCGCAGAGAAUGGGUUUCCCGUAACCCCGCCUGUGUCUUUCCUUCAGCCUCGUCCCAAAUGCCGUGGGAGGGAAGGCACUCUCUGUCAAGCUGCUGUCACCUUACCUGAAGUAAGGAGUCCACGCCUGCAUGUCCGAGGAAAACAGUUUUCUCAAACACAUUAGUUGAAAAACUGAAGACGCUGCCUAAAAUACAAGCUGAGUUAGAGACAGCCCUUGUAAGACUAGAAAAAGAAAUGGAAACUAAGUAACAUGAAUUAACAUAGUCCAGGGUCACAAAGCAACAUGGAACAAGAACCUGGAUCUGAAUUCAGAGGCAGAAUGCUGGGAAAGGCCUUGUGAGGACAUAACCAGGAAGAGAGUCCUCACCAGAACCUGACCAUACCUGCACCCUGAUCUCAAGCUUCCAGCUUCCAGAACCAUGAGAAAUCAAUGUUUGUUGUUUUAGCCACCCAGUCUACAGAAAUUUGUUAUAGCCACCCUAGCUGACUACCACAUUGGACAUCACAGCAAACACUACAACCAGUAAGUCUCUGCUUGUAUUAACUGGAACAUUUCCAAAGCCUGUCCUACUCAGGAUAAAUGCACAAAAGAAAAAUUAGUAGUUGACGGCAGAAUUCUUAAGAGAGCAGUUUUGCAUUUUUUACCAAGUAAUACUUAUUUAACUUCUAGGGCAGUAAAGUAAGAGAAAUUGUUACUCUCCACCUCCUGCCAUCAUGAAUUUAGGAAAUGUAGAAAGUUAUUCUGUUAAUAAAGAUGUGAACUUGCUGUUGAAGAGAAAA